ensembl:snRNA U6 U6 spliceosomal RNA
GUGCUCACUUCGGCAGCACAUGUACUAAGAUUGGAACGAUACAGAGAUUAGCAUGGCCCCUGCGAAAGGAUGACACACAAAUUCGUGAAGCAUUAUUAU